rnacentral:tRNA from 1 species
GGUCCUGUGGCCUAAUGGAUAAGGCGUCUGACUUCGAAUCAGAAGAUUGCAGGUUCUAGUCCUGCCAGGAUCG